GACGAAAGUCUGACGGAGCAACGCCGCGUGAGUGAAGAAGGUUUUCGGAUCGUAAAGCUCUGUCUUCAGGGACGAAUGUGCUUAAUGUGAAUAAUGUUAAGUAAUGACGGUGCCUGAGGAGGAAGCCACGGCUAACUACGUGCCAGCAGCCGCGGUAAUACGUAGGUGGCAAGCGUUGUCCGGAAUUAUUGGGCGUAAAGCGCGCGCAGGCGGGAAUGUAAGUCUGUCUUAAAAGUUCGGGGCUCAACCCCGUGAUGGGAUGGAAACUACAUUUCUUGAGUGCAGGAGAGGAAAGUGGAAUUCCUAGUGUAGCGGUGAAAUGCGUAGAUAUUAGGAGGAACACCAGUGGCGAAGGCGACUUUCUGGACUGUGUCUGACGCUGAGGCGCGAAAGCCAGGGGAGUGAACGGGAUUAGAUACCCCGGUAAUCCUGGCCGUAAACGAUGGGUACUAGGUGUAGGAGGUAUCGACCCCUUCUGUGCCGGAGUUAACGCAAUAAGUACCCCGCCUGGGGAGUAC
rnacentral:rRNA from 1 species